rnacentral:tRNA from 1 species
GCGCCAUUAACUCAGCUGGAUAGAGUAACAGACUUCUAAUCUGUAGGUCGUAGGUUCGAAUCCUACAUGGCGCA